GGGGAAUUAGCUCAAAUGGUAGAGCGCUCACUUAGCAUGCGAGAGGUAGCGGGAUCGAUACCCGCAUUCUCCA
rnacentral:tRNA from 1 species